CUACCCCGAGUGCCGCCCGUUGAGGGCGGCUUUUCCACGGUGUAAGGAGCCGUGGGAAUAAGGAGAGGGCAGGACUGGUGUCAGCCGCCGCGGUAAUACCAGCUCUCCGAGUGGUGGGGACGAUUAUUGGGCUUAAAGCGUUCGUAGCCGGCUUAACAAGUCUUCCGUUAAAUCCAACGAUCUAAUCGUUGGGCUGCGGGAGAUACUGUUGGGCUAGGAGGCGGGAGAAGCCGACGGUAUUCUCGGGGUAGGGGUGAAACCCUGUAAUCCCGGGAGGACCACCAGUGGCGAAGGCGGUCGGCUAGAACGCGCUCGACGGUGAGGGACGAAAGCUGGGGGAGCGAACCGGAUUAGAAACCCGGGUAGUCCCAGCUGUAAACGAUGCGGGCUAGGUGUUGGGGUGGCCACGAGCCACUUCAGUGCCGCAUGGAAGCAAUUAAGCCCGCCGCCUGGGGAGUACGGCCGCAAGGCUGAAACUUAAAGGAAUUG
rnacentral:rRNA from 1 species